AGCAGCCGCGGUAAUUCCAGCUCCAAUAGCGUAUAUUAAAGUUGUUGCAGUUAAAAAGCUCGUAGUUGAAUUUCGGGAUUAAUAUGUUGGUCGUGCCUUGGUACGUACUGGCAUUAUUGAUUCCUACCUUCUGAAGAACCUCGAUGUCAUUAAUUUGGUGUCUUGGGGAAUCAGGACCGUUACUUUGAAAAAUUAGAGUGUUUAAAGCAGGCUCGCGCUUGAAUACAUUAGCAUGGAAUAAUGAAAUAGGACGUUUGAUUCUAUUUUGUUGGUUUCUAGGAUCGACGUAAUAAUUAAUAGGGAUAGUUGGGGGCAUUAGUAUUCAAUUGUCAGAGGUGAAAUUCUUGGAUUUAUUGAAGACUGACUACUGCGAAAGCAUUUGCCAAGGAUGUUUUCAUUAAUCAAGAACGAAAGUUAGGGGAUCGAAGACGAUCAGAUACCGUCGUAGUCUUAACCAUAAACUAUGCCGACUAGGGAUCGGGAUGAUGUUAAUUUUUUAAUGACUCAUUCGGCGCCUUAA
rnacentral:misc_RNA from 1 species